UUCCUUGCUCCACGAAGAGAGAGAACAAUCCAGAGAGAAAUCAAGAACGAUCGAGACUUCGAGUUUCUUUGCUUUGCCCGAAGAGAGUGAGAGAGAGAAAAGGGUUGGAUUUUGAUCACCGAAGGAUAUUUGUCAAGCAGCGAAGAGUAUUCUUUAUCAGAGUUUGCUUCUCAAUUAGUCUCUCUCAGUUUUGGUGUGUGAUCGCUGGAGACCGAAAGAGAGGGGAGAGUGCAUGGUUUAGGAAGAGCGAGUAGAAAGAAAGACACCGACACUCCCAUUUCCAAGACGCUGAAAAGGAUGAAGGGUCGCCUGAAAGAGAUGAGUGAGUGGUGCAGGCAGCUGAUGCGUGAAGAAGAUUUGGAACAAGAUGAAGAACUUGAAAUUGGAGUUACUCAAGAUAUUCCUGACAUUGAUGCCACUCAAGAUAUUUCCAAUGGUACUUCUACUGAGUUAUCAGUUGCUUCUUUCCGGCACAAGUUGAAGUCCAAAGCCUGCUACAUGAACAUUGAGUGAGCACUGGUAAAUUUAAUGGUGGAUCAACUACUAUAGUUUGGAACCUAAUUCAAGAUUUUGAAUGCAGGCUCAAGAGUGUCUAUCCUUGAUCUUAACAAGAGUACCAACCCAGUAACUGCCUCAUUUCAGGAAAUGAUGAUUGACAAUAUUGUUGUCCCUGUGGCUUCCAGUUUUGGCCUUGGAGAGGAUAAUAAUUACUUAAGGAGAUCAAUCAGAGAAUUUUUGACAGGGGAGGAGUUGGAGAAGCUCGCUUUAGAUAUCAGGUCGCAUAUUUGUGAUAGACACAAAAACAGAUCCAAAAGCUCCCUUUCUGCAUAAAGUUGUUGACCCUGAAGACAUCGUACAGAAGACUGGAUUGGCAUACCCACACACAUCUCACUGCCUUGCAUCUGGUGAUUUCUUCUCCGUGACUCAGAGUUUAAUGUCAAGGGAAGAUGGGACAAACCAGGGCACACUUCACUUUUUGGUUAUGAUUUCUGGUACCAACGGCGGCACAAGACAAUGAUAAGCACAUCAUGGGUGCCCCGCUGCUUUCACCAAAGGUUUCAACCUUCAGCAUGUCUCUGAUGGUCUCUAUGGGAGGCAUCUUCAUGUCUACAGUUGGCCUGAGGUGGAAUUAUGGAUAUUUUACAAGCAGACCAGCCCUCAAUCACUGUUAGAAUGAUUAGCAGCUAAUAUAUGCUCAAUUCAAGUUUUUAUGACAGUCAUCAAAUGUACUGCCCAGCCAUCAAACUCUCAGAUAGAAUUUUAGCUUUUUCGCGGAGCCUCGAUCGACAUCCAUCUUCACUAUUUCGUAGGAUAUUCGUCUUUUAUACUGGUGGAACUACAGUUGUCAGUAUUGUGGACUGGAGUAUCUGCCUGUUUUUGCUUACUUGAUUGGAUCUUGCUGUAUCUAGCGUGAAGCUGAUCAGCUCUGAUGCUGUUACUAGAUUUACUGCCCUUGAUCUGUCAACCCUUGAUCUGCCCUUGAUCUUCCAUCUAUUCCUCUUUGACAUAUACCUGCACCCUUUUAUGUUAAUUCCUUUCUCUAUUCAUUUUCAGACUCAUGUUGAGUAGAAGAGACUGAAAAGGCCAAGAAUAUCUAUCAGAUUCUAGAUCUAUCUAAUCACUGUUCUGGCAAUCUACCUUCGUACCAUUCGUAGUCUGGGUAUAUAACCCAUAACAUAGGCUCACGAGUGGCUUCGGGAACUCUCCAUUUACGUCGACUCCAGCUCCUCCACUAUUUGCGAUCUCCGAUCAACGUCAACCUCCAUAGAAACUGAGUUGGAUGCCAUCAUUCUAUAAUCUUCUGUACGUUUCCUUCUAUAAUCUAUUCCCUCAAUUACGGGCUGCUUAAUGAGAAGUUCGAUUUGCUGGUCUUAACCCGGUAGACGACAUCGAAGUCUGAGACCUCGAUGAUCGAUUGGACCGGUUUCAAGUACCGUUCGAAAGCCUUCUUUAUCAUUACAGCCUUGACAUUGGCCCUCAGUCUUUGUUUUGUCUCUCGCUCUCCCUCUGCUUCGCACAGGUAGGUUCUCCAUCGAAUUGGACAGAGUGAUAAAGAAAGUGAGAGAUUGCUGGCACCCAUAGAGAAAGUGAUAUUUCAGAAAUUGGGCUCAUUUGGUCAAAUUGGAAUAUCCGAUUGAGCUGGCAUCCUUUUGAUCAAAUCGGGGGAUUCGUUUGAGCAAUCCGAGGUCUUUGAUGGAUUGAGCUCCAGAUAAGCUUCUUAUUUGGUUGAUUGGUUUUGAAUUUCAGUGCAUGCAGUUUUGGGUGGUGCAAAUGAAUUUGGGAUGUUCAAUUUUGUUUAGAUUAGCCCUGUUUUCUUCAUACUUAUGCAGAUAGUUUUAAAAAUUCCAGGUUUGGCCGAAAAUCUCCCAACUGCUGGUAUCUAUUGGGUCUCCAGUUGAUGUGCAAAUCUGAUAUAAGGAGCAUAAAGGUGAGGCUAGGGGCAAUUAAGAAGAAGAGGAACGCUGUACUGAAUACAUGCUGCUGAUCUUCUCAAGAUUGGCCUUGAUAUUAAUGUAUAUAGAAGGGUGGAGCUGGGAAUAGCACAGCAGGUCGAAAAGGCAUGGCUGAUGCUCUAGCAGAUAUGAAAAAAGAUGGUGCUUCACCUUCUGAAGGCCAUCCUACAGUUAACCUAAAGAACAAACCUACUAAAGAUGUCCACAAACAUCCAGACACAUCAAAACCAGCGUGGCUUUUGGCUUUGGAAGUAGUGACAAGAACCAAUUAAUGCAGUUAUACUACCCGCAGCAAAGCGCGGGCUCUCAAAGUCUUCACAAUUGUCCAAAUAAGAAGCUUCAGCCUUUGGUGUCGAGGUCCAUCACUGGGGGGGGGGGGAGUUGCCAUCGGAGGCUUGAUCGUGGAUACCAAGGUGUUCUGCUGGCCUAGAAAGUGCACCUAGCUUUGCUGAUUCAAGGACAUGAGUAGGAAAAGGAGCUUUUCUUCAGCUUCAGAAGGCCUUUGCUUGGAUUUGGCGAUACUUUAGUUUUAAUUUUUUUGUUGGAGCUUCAAUGGGAAGUUCGAAUCUUAAAAUCAUUGCCAAAGGCACAUCAAGUGGUGGUCAGUCAUAAGUCACCUCCCUGCAGUUCCAGAGAUUAACUUCAAUUUUGCAAUUUGUAAAUAUACGUCUGGUUUAAACAUCACUUUUGUAAUUUGUACGGUUAUAACAUUUUCAAUUUACGUUUUUAGCUUA